UACGUAGGGUCUGAGCGUUGUCCGGAAUUAUUGGGCGUAAAGAGCUCGUAGGCGGUUUGUCGCGUCUGCUGUGAAAUCCCGAGGCUCAACCUCGGGUCUGCAGUGGGUACGGGCAGACUGGAGUGCGGUAGGGGAGAAUGGAAUUCCUGGUGUAGCGGUGGAAUGCGCAGAUAUCAGGAGGAACACCGAUGGCGAAGGCAGUUCUCUGGGCCGUAACUGACGCUGGAGGAGCGAAAGCGUGGGGAGCGAACAGG
rnacentral:rRNA from 1 species